CCUACGGGAGGCAGCAGUGGGGAAUAUUGCACAAUGGGCGCAAGCCUGAUGCAGCGACGCCGCGUGAGGGAUGGAGGCCUUCGGGUUGUAAACCUCUUUUGUUAGGGAGCAAGGCAUUUUUUGUUGAGUGUACCUUUCGAAUAAGCACCGGCUAACUACGUGCCAGCAGCCGCGGUAAUACGUAGGGUGCAAGCGUUAUCCGGAAUUAUUGGGCGUAAAGGGCUCGUAGGCGGUUCGUCGCGUCCGGUGUGAAAGUCCAUCGCUUAACGGUGGAUCCGCGCCGGGUACGGGCGGGCUUGAGUGCGGUAGGGGAGACUGGAAUUCCCGGUGUAACGGUGGAAUGUGUAGAUAUCGGGAAGAACACCAAUGGCGAAGGCAGGUCUCUGGGCCGUUACUGACGCUGAGGAGCGAAAGCGUGGGGAGCGAACAGGAUUAGAUACCCUGGUAGUCCACGCCGUAAACGGUGGAUGCUGGAUGUGGGGCCCGUUCCACGGGUUCCGUGUCGGAGCUAACGCGUUAAGCAUCCCGCCUGGGGAGUACGGCCGCAAGGCUAAAACUCAAAGAAAUUGACGGGGGCCCGCACAAGCGGCGGAGCAUGCGGAUUAAUUCGAUGCAACGCGAAGAACCUUACCUGGGCUUGACAUGUUCCCGACGAUCCCAGAGAUGGGGUCUCCCUUCGGGGCGGGUUCACAGGUGGUGCAUGGUCGUCGUCAGCUCGUGUCGUGAGAUGUUGGGUUAAGUCCCGCAACGAGCGCAACCCUCGCCCCGUGUUGCCAGCGGAUUGUGCCGGGAACUCACGGGGGACCGCCGGGGUUAACUCGGAGGAAGGUGGGGAUGACGUCAGAUCAUCAUGCCCCUUACGUCCAGGGCUUCACGCAUGCUACAAUGGCCGGUACAACGGGAUGCGACAGUGCGAGCUGGAGCGGAUCCCUGAAAACCGGUCUCAGUUCGGAUCGCAGUCUGCAACUCGACUGCGUGAAGGCGGAGUCGCUAGUAAUCGCGAAUCAGCAACGUCGCGGUGAAUGCGUUCCCGGGCCUUGUACACACCGCCCGUCAAGUCAUGAAAGUGGGCAGCACCCGAAGCCGGUGGCCUAACCCCUUGCGGGAGGGAGCCGUCUAAGGUGAGGCUCGUGAUUGGGACUAAGUCGUAACAAGGUAGCCGUACCGGAAGGUGCGGCUG
rnacentral:rRNA from 1 species